rnacentral:lncRNA from 1 species
CCCUCCAAGGUGUUGGCCUCUUUAGAGAGAAAAAUGGAGAGACAAUUCUCACCAAUUUUCCCCAAAAUAAACCCUUUUAAUCCUUAAUGAAUAUUUGGCUAUAAAGUCAUUUAUAUAGUCACUUCUUUUAAGUGACCUAAACAACCAAAAAACCCUAAUUCAUCCUUCAUGGCCGGCCACCUAAAGGGAUUUGGGCUUUUGGGCCUUAAUGAAUCUUUAUUCAUUAAAAUUGUCAUACAACUUAAGUUAAUGGGCUUGACGUUCGAAGCCCAUUAGGCCUUAAGGUCCAAAACUAUCCCCGAGGUCUUUAACGAACUUAUUCGUUUGAUUAAUUAACAUAUUAAUUAAUCCUUGCCAUAAAUAAAUGAUUAAACCAUUUAAUCAUUCUUACUCAUUUCCGUUUAAUCUCCAAUCUCUACCUUUUAUGGUGUGCGAUCCAUUAGGUUCCUUUUAGCGAGGUAGUGGGCGAUUAAAACCAUUUUACAUCGAUUGUGAAUUGAAACUAUUUUCAAUUCUCCCUUUAGUGAUUAUACACGUUUAGGGCUUCCACAAACCAUGAGUGACACCUAGUAGCAUAUCAUGGUUACCCAAGCUAAUCAGAAGAGGUGGAGAACCUAUUCAGUUCGAGAUUACAAAUGCAAUACGGUCUUUCUCUAAUCUAAUACUCUUGACCACAUUGUUUGGUUUGAUAGUUUAUUUUCUCAUGUCUACUAUCCAAUGUGUGUCUUGUGCUUAUAUGAUUACAUUGAAUGUGAUUUGGAACGCAUUCCCCAAUCUCAUUCAUACUCUGGCCAGAGAUUCAAAUCAUAUCAUAGAGUAUUCUCCCUCAAACGGUUUGAAGGUUAGAGAUCCCUUGUUGCGCAUUCACUUGUCUCCAUAGCUAAGUGGCUUGACCCCAACGAUGCCGUGGACACCCUCCUGAUGGAGUGACUUUGACAUAAUCAAAGAUCAAGGACUUAACCACAAGACAACUAUGAUGCCUCAGGUCAAAGGACUACUUUGCAUUAUCCCAACCAUGAGUUCUCAUGUGACAUGGAAUAUGAGAACUCUUCGUUAAUCGUGUUCAGUGAACUCAUUCUCUAUUGAGCACCUACCGUACUUGUCUUGAUGUCACACACACCAAUGACUCGAAACUAAUCACUCUCCCUGAGAGAAGACAUAGUACGUACCGAUCUUAACGGACUGUCAAUGCCCAAUUGGCAAUCCUAUGAUCAGGAACAUUUAGGAUGUGUCUACGAAAGAAUGGUCUCAUGAAUCUAACUUCAUUAGAUUACAUUCUCCCAAUCACAUAUUCCUUGGACUUUAUCGUUUAAGCAUAUAACAUUUAUAUGAGACGGCUCAAACAAUAAUCUUUGCCCUUUAUAUGUAAAACUAGAUUAGUUUAACAUGUGAAAUGUCCGUAAAGUAUCAUCACAUGAUUGGCUUUAGGGCACAUUUCCAACAAUCUCCCACUUGCACUAGAGCCAAUCAGCUUGGUCAUCUUGAUGAUACCUCUUCUGUAGUCAUUUCAUAAAUGGCUGAAUAGUAGGCCUAGACAGUGGAUAUCUAUAUGUGUUAUCCACAGAAGCAACCUUGAGAAUAACGACGUCACCAUUAUACAUGAUUCUCAAUCAUGUGGUUCAGUCUCUCAUUUGUGUUCGGAUCUUGAUGAGACCUUGAUUCCCAGGCUUGAGCUAUCGCCCCAUUAGUGUCAUACACUUUCUGGUUGGAACCGAAUAGAGAGUUCAUAAAUGAACUUUCCCAUCCAAACAACAUUGUUGUAAACUUCUAUAUGGCAAUAUAUCUUGCAUUCAUUAUGGAACACACUAAAGUCAUUACUUUAAUGUUUCCAUCCAAAUAUCUCUUUAGUCAUAAUAAAGAGAUAUUCGUUUAUCUCUUCAUUCAUAAUGAAGAAACAUCCAAUGAUGGAUUAGAUUCAUAAUCUAAUACAUUUACGCUUCCAUUACGUUACUCUAAUUCUUCCUCGUUCUUUGAGGAAUCUAUCCUUUAGUAUUUCUUAAAUACUUAAGGAUUCACUUGACAGUUGCCAUGGUUCUGAUCCUGGGCUUGCACUGAUAUCGUCUUGUACCGUUCUAGGUACAACUCAUAUCAAUGUUUUUCAUACAAUAUGAAAUACAUAAAUCACCUUUGUGCGUAUGCAUAAAGGAUUCUAUUUACGCAUUAUUUCUUUGGGAGUCAAAGGGGCACGUUCCCUUUGAGAAGGGCAACUUGCUAGUCUUACUAGAGUCAUCCUUCUAAUUGAAGUUUAUCAUCAUAUGAGAAACUUCCUAGCAUCCAUUGUCUAUUAUUAGGAAUUGAUAUAAUCCAAUUAUAUCAUGAAAUAUAUCAUUAUAGAUUUCCAUCCCAUGUAUAUAGACUAUAUCUCCCAUAUACAUUCUAUCUUCAUAUAAUGUAUUAAAGUCAUAACUUUAACGAAGAAGUAUUCUUUUCAUUUCCAAAAUUAAUAUAUAUCAUAUAUAUUUAAAUUUUAGGAACAUGAUUAACUCCCACUAAUCUUUUGUAAAAACUAGUAAACAAAAGAUUCAUUUACAUCUUUCAUGAGAAAUCAAACGAUUUGAUCCUUUUUCUCAUAAAAUGCAAAUAGCUCCCACUAACUUGCUAAGAUCCAUGAUGGAUGGAUCUCUACAACUUACAUGUCUUGUGAUUUAUAGUUUUAGACAUAUAUUUAUCAAGACUAUCUUAAUAAUGGUUUCGGAAACCCAUAUUAUGUCCAAACAUUGAAUCACCAUUUAGUUGUAGCUAGCAAUCUUCGAAUUAAUUGAAACCAAGACUAUCUCAAAGAUGGUUUCUUCAAAGUCAACCAUUCUCUUUGAUUGUAGUCACCUUAAGCUACCAAUUAGCUAUGAAGGUUUCAUUAUUUCGAGUCAAAUGGUACUUUACCAUUUUCCUUGAGUAUAUAUCGUAUAUGCACUCAAUGUAGUCAUAAGGAUUUUCAUUCAUAUUUCUUUUGAAUUAAGAGGUGCAACUCUAUGACAUAGUCAUAAAGUUCAAAACCAUUCAACUGAGACGGUUUAUAAAUCCUUAUCGACUACCUUGGAGCUUGUGGUAUAGGAACUAGGUUGUUAUAUUUGUUGAUUACUUUCUUGUCUCUCAAAGAACCCAUUCUUUCGAGUUCUAUCUCUCGUUCAUUUGCUCUUAGGCAAAUCACAUUGUAGAAUUACAAUGAACUACCCAACAAAACAACAUUUGUUAGUUGGUUUAUAGAAGCGAUAUCCAAAAGUUAAUUUUAAGGAUAUCCUACAAGAUUGUUAUCAAACAAAUAUUGCUUAUUAGCACACAACCCCAAAUCUUUAACAUGCUUAAGAUUUGUCUUUCUUUCCAACUACAUCUUAUGGAGUCAUGAAAAUAUUGGAAGAUCUUCUAAUUGACAAUCAUAUUGUUUUUAGAAGUAUAUAUCCUAUAUAUGGGUAAUAGAUAACAUCUAACGAACUAAAUCUUAUUCGAGUUCGUUCUUCUCCUAAUGGAGAAAUUCAUUAUCUUAUGAUGCUUAUUUCCUUGAUAUCUUUCAAGGAAACUCAUCUAAAAGUGUUACCUUUCCUUGGAUCAAAUCUAAGGAGGUAAAUACUUUAGAUGUCUUACUCAUCAACUUACAUUUACUUGAAUUCUUUGAAACAUUUUGCAAAGUAUUCGGACUUGUGUUUAUUCAAAAUAAACUAUAGUCCAACCGAGAGUGAUCUUCGGUGAAUGUCAUUCAACAUGAGUAGUAUUAUGUUUGUGGACAAGUGCCACUAACAUCUAAGUGAAUUAACCUCAACAACUUUGUGAUUCUUUCUUCUUUCCAAAAGAAUAAAGAUUCGAACAUUUCGCCUCCUAUACAAUUUUAACAAGAAGGUAUUGGAUCCGGAUCUAACGAUCCAAAGCGUCCAUUUUUCACCAACUCGUAACUUUAUGUUUUUAGAGGUAUCACAACUUUAGUUGGGAUUAGUCACUACCUUGCAACCUUUUGGGUUUUAAGCAUCAUUAUUUUCUAAACAGUUAACACUACCAUAUUAUCUCUCUACUAUAGAGAUAAUUAAUUAGAUUACCAUAAUCCAAUCAUUUGAUUAAUAAAGAACAAUGUUUUGUCAAACAAAACAUUUAUCCAUUUCACAUAGUGACGGAAUUUAGUUCCUUAAAAUUGGAAUGUAAAGACAAUCUUAUGUUUUUCCAAUUUCUUUGGUAGUUCAUAUGAGGAAGUAAGUACCAUCUGCUUUCGCAGAGAUCUACAUUUUGAUUCACGUUUCCGAAUGUGAAGUACUUUCUCUUCUCUCAUAUAAUCUUCUACUUCUUAUUAGUCACAUUUUUACAACGAUUGUAAAACAUAGUACUAAUACGGAAUCAAGCAUUCAAGUAGAAGAACCAACUGUUUUGAACUUUUCAAGAACAUUUUUACAACACCUUCGAAAGGUGUGUUCUUGACACUUGCAAGACAUUUCUUGCAAAUACCCCUUCCAAUGUCCAUCCUUUCAUAAAGAAAGUUUGUUCCCUUGGAGUUAUUUAUCUUCUUUAUUUGACUUUCACCUUUGACUACAUUAGUCAUGGUCCCUAAACUCCCACUAUCUCUCUUGAAACCUUUUUCAAUUGUGUUAUACACAUCAAACAAUUUUGGAGAGCAUGUGGUUUAUUGUUCACUACAUAGUUUACAAUAAACUUAGUGAACCAUUAGGAUAGGGAAACAAAGGUGAAGUCCUUGCCUAGUUUCCGUCUCGUUAAGUGGUUUAUCACUUCAACACUCAAUGAUUCAAAAUCAUCAUAAGUCCAUGUUAAUGGACUAUUUUUGUCAACCAACCAUUAUGUUCUAAACAUAAUUACAAACUUUCAAGAGUUGUACAAGGCAACUCUCAUUUCUUCAUACAACAAUUUGUAAGUGAAGAAUCAUGGCACAUAAAGUGUCCAUGCCUUUGUGCUUUCUUCUCAAGUUCCUUGUUCAUGUAACAAAGAAACAAGCACUAAGUGUUUGCAUUGACUAAGGGUUGUUCAAAGCAACUCCUAUUUCUUCAUACAACAAUUUGUAAUUGAAGAAUUAUGACAUUAAAAGUGUUGUCCUCUUUAUGAUAGACCUUUUCUAACAUAUUCUUCCAAUGAUACAUUAUCAAUAGGAAGAUUGUGAGGAUGAGACUACUUUGGUACUUUUACAAGCCAUUAAAGACAAUCUAUGGUUUUGUAGUACCAAGUCCGUAAACUAAACGUUCGGCUUUUAUUUGUCAAGUGUUGGAUAGCGUUUGCAAAUAUAUUGGUAAAACAAAUACAUAACGAAUAUAAAUUGAUUGAUUUUAAGCCAUUUGAUUCGGGUCUUUAAAUCAAAAUAGCACCACCCACUAUUUUUGGCAAAUUUCAUAUCCCUCAUUGGAAUUCGAGAGUUUUGGAUGAAACUCCUAGUAGGUUAUGGGAGGCUCACUAUUACCAAGCCCACCUCAGAAGAACUCCAUAUUGGCUAGCAUCAAUAAUAAUGAGAGAGUACGCUUACUCAUUUGCAACUAAUGCAAGUACCCAUCUCGUUUGGCCUCUAGAGAAUGAUGCCUCAGAAGAACUCCAUAUUGGCACCAUUGCACUUAGUUAAGUCAUUCCCACCAUGCUAGUUCAAGUAGGGGUUCAAGAAUGGCCUCAGAAGAACUCCAUAUUGGCCACACUUGUUGCCUACCUUUCACUUCAUCAUAUGUUUAUAGGCUUCUCCUGAAUGUAAGCACAUACUUUGCAACCCCAGAAUUGGACGAAUACAUUGUACGAGUCACAAACUAUUGAAGCCCACCACGGUGGAAGGCCACGAAAGAGUGUUCUAAGCACUCUCACGCUUAUCAACUUAAUAAUGGUUUGGUUGAGGGUUUUAGGUCUCAUCACAUAUAAACAUUCAUUUUAAUCUCUAUUAAAACAAUUUUGGUCCUAUUACAACUAUUGGUUCCAUCUGAUUGUUUUAGUUGUACAUAAUACUCCCACUAUGCUUAUAAAACGAUUUUUAAAGCAAGAGUAUAUGAUACUACUAACAUAAACUUUGCAUUCAUUUGAUGGACUAUAUAGUUGCCUUAGGGCCCUAGGAUGAUUAUGAACCUUUGUUUAGAUUCAACACGAGCCUUGUGUUGAAUCUCGGUCUAGGAAUGGUGAUUGAUUUUAGUUACGCGUUUAAUCACAUUAAGGCGUGUUGUCUUAUGGGCGUUGGACCCAACUACUUCAUUUUCAUGCAUAUCAUAUAAAGCAAGAAAGAAGUACUUCAAAGUAAAGAUGAGCUUAUGCUCAUUACAACAUUUGCAUAUAACAAAUUACUUUAAAGUAAAGAAGAGCUUAAGCCCUUUUACAACAUUUGAUCAAAUCAAAUUACAACCAAAAUCUAAUCUACACAUUCCCAUGGUUCAAACAAAUUUGAAACGGCCUUUCACAUAGCUCAAUUAUAUUAGGCUUAGGUUCAUAAUCACCCUUUAAUUAAUUAACACUUUAACUAAUUAAAUUGAAUGCAACAUUUUCAUUUGGUUUUUGUAUCCAUAAAAUUGAUUUAAAUGGAGCUAAACAAAAUGAAAAUCCAAUUCUCAUUUAAAGAGACAAAACAAUUUUGUUCUCAUCCUAUUUGGGCCAUCAUGCAAUUAACCUCAACUUUUGGGCCAUAUUGCAAUAACAAAAACUUUUGGGGUCACUUUGUACAAUACACAAAAGUCACUACUUCAUGUAAAUACAACUAGAACCCAAACUUUUAAUAAUGCAAAAACUUCAUUAAAGGAACAAAACAAUUUGUCCUUUAGCGUUUUUGGACCUAAACGUAAAAACGUAAACUUUUGGGCCAAAGUGCAAAUACACAAAAGUAUCAAAACUUUAUGUAAUUGCAUAAAAGCCCCAAAAAGUACUCCCUUUGAGGGAGUGGCCGGUUUUGGGGAGGGAUAAGGUUGGUGUGUGUGUUGAUUUGUGAGUUUUGUCAAAAGCAUGCAAGUGUAUGUGAAAGGAUAUGUUUAUGAAAUAAUUCAAUCACAAUUAUUUCAAUCAUCAUUUAUACAAAUAUCUAAUACUUUAAAUACAUGAUAAAUCAUUUAAAAAACAUAUCACAUAAACUUUAUGAAAUAAAUCAAAACUUUGAAUCAAAACACCAAACCUUUUUGUUCUUGGCAAGAACAUCAAGAACAAUGAAGAACAUCCAUGAAAAACCCAAAUUUUUCCAUGAACUUUUUUUCACCCAAAAACAUUCCAAAACCAUUCUUACUUAAGGGAAAUAACAUCUAACCAAACUAGGGUACUUAGGGGUUCCAAAGAACACAUUAAAACACUUUUAACAAGUCAAACAAGAACCCAAAAAUCCACCCUUUGGUUUUGGCCGAAUUUUUCCCAAAAAGCAUGGCACCAAAUUUUAGCUCCAAUAUUCAUGCUCAUAUGAACAACAUCUACAACAUUUGAGAUGGCAAAUUUUCCAACAAAAUUUACUUUCAAAAAGAAGCAAGAAUAAAGCUUGUAACAAUUACAACUUUUAAAUCACAAACUAUGAACUACAAAACACAAAAGGAUUCACCAACUACUAGACCUAGGCUCUGAUACCACUUGAAGGAUUAUUUUGUGAAAACAUGUUCAUUUGAGCAACAUCAUAUAGCAUGCAAUUAACAAUUAAAGGCGGAAUCAUGCUUGUAUGCACUCAAAAACAAAACAUUACCAUGAAAUUCAAAGCCUAGUAGAUUGGUGAACCAAUUAAUCAACUCAAAACAAAGUGAGUUGAAAUUAAUACCUUUGUAGAUUCCUCUUUGCAUAAGCAAAGGCUAAUCACCCAAAGAGAUAGGGCCUUCAUUCCUUGCUUCUUAGAUCCAUGGAUUUGGAUGGAAGAAUAGGUUCUCUAAGUUCCCAAAAUUGAGAACCUCUAAGUCUCUUCACCAAGGUUAGAUUGUAGAAGAAAUGAGUGACCUUGGAGUAGUAGGAUUGCUAGAUGUACCCUCCAAGGUGUUGGCCUCUUUAGAGAGAAAAUGGAGAGACAAUUCUCACCAAUUUUCCCCCAAAAUAAACCCUUUUAAUCCUUAAUGAAUAUUUGGCUAUAAAGUCAUUUAUAUAGUCACUUCUUUUAAGUGACCUAAACAACCAAAAACCCUAAUUCAUCCUUCAUGGCCGGCCACCUAAAGGGAUUUGGGCUUUUGGGCCUUAAUGAAUCUUUAUUCAUUAAAUUGUCAUACAACUUAAGUUAAUGGGCUUGACGUUCGAAGCCCAUUAGGCCUUAAGGUCCAAAACUAUCCCCGAGGUCUUUAACGAACUUAUUCGUUUGAUUAAUUAACAUAUUAAUUA